rnacentral:rRNA from 1 species
ACGGCGAGUGAAGCGGCAACAGCUCAAAUUUGAAAUCUGGCUUUCGGGUCCGAAUUGUAAUUUGCAGAGGAUGCUUUUGGCGAGGUGCCUUCCGAGUUCCCUGGAACGGGACGCCUUAGAGGGUGAGAGCCCCGUACGGUUGGACACCAAGCCUCUGUAAAGCUCCUUCGACGAGUCGAGUAGUUUGGGAAUGCUGCUCUAAAUGGGAGGUAAAUUUCUUCUAAAGCUAAAUACCGGCCAGAGACCGAUAGCGCACAAGUAGAGUGAUCGAAAGAUGAAAAGCACUUUGAAAAGAGGGUUAAAUAGCACGUGAAAUUGUUGAAAGGGAAGCGUUUACGGCCAGACCUUUUCCUAGCGGAUCAUCUGGUGUUCUCACCGGUGCACUUCGCUAGGUUUAGGCCAGCAUCGGCUUCUGUAGAGGGAUAAAAGCAGUGGGAAAGUAGCUCUCUCGGGAGUGUUAUAGCCCUAAGCAUAAUACCUUUACGGGGGCCGAGGACCGCGCUUUUGCAAGGAUGCUGGCGUAAUGGUCGUCAACGACCCGUCUUGAAACACGGACCAAGGAGUCGAACAUUUGUGCGAGUGUUUGGGUGUUAAACCCUCACGCGUAAUGAAAGUGAACGGAGGUGAGAGCCCUUUACGGGGUGCAUCAUCGACCGAUCCUGAUGUCUUCGGAUGGAUUUGAGUAGGAGCAUUAAUGUUCGGACCCGAAAGAUGGUGAACUAUGCGUGGAUAGGGUGAAGCCAGAGGAAACUCUGGUGGAGGCUCGCAGCGGUUCUGACGUGCAAAUCGAUCGUCAAAUCUGCGCAUGGGGGCGAAAGACUUAUCGAACCAUCUAGUACUGGU